rnacentral:rRNA from 1 species
CACGGGUGAGUAACACGUAUCCAACCUGCCGUCUACUCUUGACAGCCUUCUGAAAGGAAGAUUAAUACAAGAUGGCAUCAUGAGUCCGCAUGUUCACAUGAUUAAAGGUAUUCCGGUAGACGAUGGGGAUGCGUUCCAUUAGCAGUGGCGGGGUAACGGCCCACCAAGCACGAUGGAUAGGGGUUCUGAGAGGAAGGUCCCCCACAUUGGAACUGAGACACGGUCCAA